rnacentral:tRNA from 1 species
UCCCUGGUGGCUCAGAUGGUAAAGCAUCUGCCUACAAUGCGGGAGACCCGGGUUUGAUCCCUGGGUUGGGAA